rnacentral:lncRNA from 1 species
GCCUUACCUGGGGAUCCAUUCCAUAUGCAGCCACCAACCUCAGUCACUAUUGCUGAUACCAAGAAGUGCUUACUGACAGGAGCCAGAUAUGGGUGUCUUCUGAGAGGUUCUGCCAGAGCCCUACUGAUACAGAUGAGGAUGCUUGCAGCUAACCAUUGGACUGAACAAGGAGUCCCCAAUGGAGGAGUUAGAGAAAAGACUAAAGGAACUGAAGGGGUUUGUAACACCAUAGGAAGAACAACAAUAUCAACCAACCAAAUCCCACCAGAGCUCCCAGGGACUAAACUACCAACCUAAGAAUACACAUGGAGUGACCCAUGACUCCAGCCAUAAAUGUGGCAGAGGAUGGCAUUGUCCAGCAUUAGUGGGAGGAGAAGCCCUUGGUCCUGUGAAGGCUCAUUUCCACAUUGUAGGGGAAUGCCAAGAUGUUGAGGUUGGAGUGGGUAGGUGGGAGUGGGAGCACCCUCAUAGAAGCAGGGGGAGGGGGAUGGGAACAUGGGCAAGGGGGGGGAAAGGGGAUAACAUUUGAAAUGUAAAUACAUAAAAUAUCCAAGAAAAAUAAAA